CAGUGAUAAACUGGAGGAAGGUGGGGAUGACGUCAAGUCAUCAUGGCCCUUACGACCAGGGCUACACACGUGCUACAAUGGCGCAUACAAAGAGAAGCGACCUCGCGAGAGCAAGCGGACCUCAUAAAGUGCGUCGUAGUCCGGAUUGGAGUCUGCAACUCGACUCCAUGAAGUCGGAAUCGCUAGUAAUCGUGGAUCAGAAUGCCACGGUGAAUACGUUCCCGGGCCUUGUACACACCGCCCGUCACACCAUGGGAGUGGGUUGCAAAAGAAGUAGGUAGCUUAACCUUCGGGAGGGCGCUUACCACUUUGUGAUUCAUGACUGGGGUGAAGUCGUAACAAGGUAACCGUAGGGGAACCUGCGGUUGGAUCACCUCCUUACCUGAAAGAAGC
rnacentral:rRNA from 37 species